rnacentral:lncRNA from 1 species
AGGCAACAGUAGUAUACCGCUGUUCAAACUCAUAAAUCCAUGGACAAAAAACAAAAUCGGGGUAACAAACUAAAACUGAGGGAAACGCACCAAACAUAAGAGGAGAACAACGACACAACACUACAAUGUAACACACACAGAAACGGACCAAUCAUCAGACAAAAUCCCACGAGAAUAACAAAUAUAACAUCAAAACCAAAUACAUGAAUUUGGGAUAGACAAGUACCGUGACACGUCUUAUCGCAAUGUGAAUUUACACUCAAAAAUAAGAGAAAACAAACGACGCAACGUUAAAAUGUAACACACAGAGAAACGAACUAUAAUAUAACAAUGGCCAUAUUCCUGACUUGGUACAGGACAUUUUUAAAGGAAAAAAUGGUGGGUUGAACCUGGUUUUGUGGCAUGCCAAACCUCGCACUUUAAUGGCAAUGUUAAAUAUAACAUUGAAAUGACAACAUAAUAUUACAGGACUACAAUACAAAUAAAUAGGAGAAC